rnacentral:rRNA from 1 species
UAAACUGAAGAGUUUGAUCAUGGCUCAGAUUGAACGCUGGCGGCAGGCUUCAGACAUGCAAGUCGAGCGGAAACAGGCCGCUGUGAUCCCUUCGGGGUGAACUUGGUGCUGUCGAGCGGCGGACGGGUGAGUAACGCGUAGGAAUCUGCCCAGUAGAGGGGGAUAGCCCGAGGAAACUCGGAUUAAUACCGCAUACGCCCUACGGGGGAAAGCAGGGGAUCUUCGGACCUUGCGCUAUUGGAUGAGCCUGCGUUGGAUUAGCUUGUUGGUGGGGUAAAGGCCUACCAAGGCGACGAUCCAUAGCUGGUUUGAGAGGAUGAUCAGCCACACUGGAACUGAGACACGGUCCAGACUCCUACGGGAGGCAGCAG